AGACUGGCAGACAGGUGGGGACUGUGAUCAUCUGGCCAGCCUCUCUGCACCUGGCCUGCCCACUCCAGAGUCCCCGCCCUGCUCUCAGCUGGACAUCUCGGGCACCUGAAUUCCCUUCUGCCUUGAGUCGAGAGGUCAGCCUCACCUAGGGGGACCCGCAGCCCAAAAGAAGCUCUGCAGAGGUCUGAACCCUAUAUGGGAGACAGGCUCAAAUCUUUCCCUGUAGGAUGCCUCCAAGCUCCAGGCACAUCAAGGGAAGUGGCUGCCCGGGCAUCUGCAGUAUUCAGUGCCAGUCCUCAGGUGACCGCUAGGGGACAGUGUGGCCCGACUCCUGCUGCCACCUGGUGCCCCACGGCCCAGCCCCGCUGGUUGAGCAGUGCUGUGUGCUGCAGUUCAGAGCCAUGGCCCGCAGCUAUCGUCACCACCUACACCUGCUGCUUCUCCCCCUCGACCACAGCCACAGUUGGUACCCAGCCUGUUGUGGCAGCUGGGACAUUUGCUGGGGAGACCUGCCUGGAGUCACUGAGCUGAUGGUGGAAGUCAGGAUGGAAAGGGGAUUGUUCUCUAGACACCUUCUGUCUUCUUCUCACUCUCACUCCUGCUCGGAAAUGGAUGCUGUCGGGGACUUCCCUGGUGGUCCAGUGGCCGAGAGUGCUCCCAGAGCAGGGGGCUGGGGUUCCAUCCCUGGUCAGGGAACUAGAUCCCACAUGUAACAACUAAGAGUUCACAUGCAGCAACUAAGACCUGGCACAGCCAAAUAAAUGAAUAAAUAAAUAUUAAGA
ensembl:lncRNA